rnacentral:lncRNA from 1 species
GAUAAGGCCAUAUCAAAAUAUUUAGAAACACGAUAACAGAACAAUCCAUAUGAUUUUUUAUACUUAUUUUAACAUGUACCAGAGUUUUUUAUCCAUAAAUUUCCAUUUCAAUACAUUGACGUUCUCUCGAAUAUGAAUUACACUUAGGCCCUGUUUGGUUCCACCAACUAAAUUUUAGCUAGUUAAACUUUAGUCACUUUAGUAGCUAAAGUUCCAAACACAUUGACUAAAAGGAGCUAAAAUAGUUUAGUUCCAUUAGUCAUCCAAGAGUAACUAAAAUAAUUUUAGCUAGCUAAAAUUUAGCAAGGGAACCAAACAGGCCCUUAGUAGCCAAUACUUUUAAGGAACAAGAAUUAAAAUUAUUUGGCAAUCCAAGGACACCCUAUUACAUGUAUCUUUAAUUUGUUAACUGAAUCAAAGUGUUGAAAUCUAAGCCAGUUAAUUUCAAUAUCAGCUCACAUAACGUG